GAAUUUCGUCAUCUGUUUCUCCUUGGGUAUUAUUUUUUGGUAUCAUCGAAGAAGAUAGGUUGCAUACAGUUGAAGUUGUUUCAAGGACGUUUUCAGGAUGCUUGGUGUGAAGCUGAUUGUUCAGGAUAUUUCAAACGUUCGAGAUUGAAAAUCAAUAAGAAUAUUUUAAUUAAGUUUAGCUAUACAUUGAUGUAGACAUUUUCUUCUUUUAUAGCUCUUUUAAACUCCAGUUCACAGUUGAAAACCAAGCAAUAUUACCGCCUCUGUUCUAAUGAAAUGACGCUUGUUCAAUACAGCAAAAGAUCUUACGCGAUCAAGCGCAGCGAAAACGACAAGUGACAAAACGGUGACAGGCAACAUGGUAACAAACGAAAAGAGUAUCUAAACGACGAUUAGUACUCGCAGCUGUGCAUCGGUAAGCCGCACUCUUCUGCUUCUCAGAUGACGGUCUCGUGAAGCAUAUUUUCGUGUGCUGGAAAGAGAAACAUGCUAUUGAGCAGGGCUUGAUGUCGCUCUGCUGCUGACAAACACGAGGUUCACGAAUCUUGAACUUGGAUCGCAUUCAGAGUGAAAUCUCACUGUAUGAUGCGCAGCGCAUGUUUUUGCCAAUUCUAAUUUUCAUGCGUAAAACAAGUUGCGAAAGUCACGUCGCAAGCACAUGGUUUCACAGCCUAGGGAAUAUCUUCAUUUAGAUAAACAGCUCUAUUACGCGACAAAACUGUGUUAAUCUAGUACGAGAUUUUAACUUUAGGAAAAUUAUUCGGUAGAACGAGAAGGGUAUUUUGAUGACAGGAUAGUGUACAUUAUUAGCCAUUUCCCGGGGAUGAACAAGUUUUUCAAAUGGUCAAUUCUAAACUGUAAGGAGUCAUAUAUCUUCAAGUCAGAUCACCUUAAAGAGUUAAGCUUGAAGAAGUUUCACAGCACGUGUUAUAAAAAUCGAUGAAACACACUCGAGAGGAAAAAUCGCACACACAGACACAUCCACGGCUGGAUAGUGAUCCCCAUGCAUAGUUAAUGGAAUCAAAACAAACGCAAAGACGAAGGAAUGGAUGAAAUAAAGUGGCAUAAAAAUGUA